GUGCAUGCGCAGCUACACAUGCAGUCGAGCGCAUCCUUCGGGAUGAGCGGCGGACGGGUGAGUAUCGCGUGGGAACGUGCCCUUUUCUACGGAAUAGCCUCGGGAAACUGGGAGUAAUACCGUAUGUGCCCUUCGGGGGAAAGAUUUAUCGGCAAAGGAUCGGCCCGCGUUGGAUUAGGUAGUUGGUGGGGUAAUGGCCUACCAAGCCUACGAUCCAUAGCUGGUUUGAGAGGAUGAUCAGCCACACUGGGACUGAGACACGGCCCAGACUCCUGCGGGAGGCAGCAGUGGGGAAUAUUGGACAAUGGGCGAAAGCCUGAUCCAGCCAUGCCGCGUGAGUGAUGAAGGCCCUAGGGUUGUAAAGCUCUUUCACCGAGGAAGAUAAUGACGGUACCCGGAGAAGAAGCCCCGGCUAACUUCGUGCCAGCAGCCGCGGUAA
rnacentral:rRNA from 1 species